UACUGAGGGUGCGAGCGUUAAUCGGAAUUACUGGGCGUAAAGCGCACGUAGGCGGUGUGUUACGUCGGCCGUGAAAACCUGCAGCUUAACUGUGGGCGUGCGGUUGAUACGGGUUGGCUGGAGUUCGGUAGGGGAGACUGGAAUUCCUGGUGUAGCGGUGAAAUGCGCAGAUAUCAGGAGGAACACCGGUGGCGAAGGCGGGUCUCUGGGCCGAUACUGACGCUGAGGAGCGAAAGCGUGGGGAGCGAACAGG
rnacentral:rRNA from 1 species